AUCCUCCAAGGCUAAAUACUCCUGACUGACCGAUAGUGAACCAGUACCGUGAGGGAAAGGCGAAAAGAACCCCGGCGAGGGGAGUGAAAAAGAACCUGAAACCGUGUACGUACAAGCAGUGGGAGCAUGCUUAGGCGUGUGACUGCGUACCUUUUGUAUAAUGGGUCAGCGACUUAUAUUCUGUAGCAAGGUUAACCGAAUAGGGGAGCCGAAGGGAAACCGAGUCUUAACUGGGCGUUAAGUUGCAGGGUAUAGACCCGAAACCCGGUGAUCUAGCCAUGGGCAGGUUGAAGGUUGGGUAACACUAACUGGAGGACCGAACCGACUAAUGUUGAAAAAUUAGCGGAUGACUUGUGGCUGGGGGUGAAAGGCCAAUCAAACCGGGAGAUAGCUGGUUCUCCCCGAAAGCUAUUUAGGUAGCGCCUCGUGAAUUCAUCUCCGGGGGUAGAGCACUGUUUCGGCAAGGGGGUCAUCCCGACUUACCAACCCGAUGCAAACUGCGAAUACCGGAGAAUGUUAUCACGGGAGACACACGGCGGGUGCUAACGUCCGUCGUGAA
rnacentral:rRNA from 1 species